CAAAACGCCUUUCCCCCCCCCCCCCCCCUCCAUUGAGAGCGAAUGUUUACAAACAUACGGAGCGAGGAGAGUACGCGGCUCCCCGCAAAGAGCCUCAUUGACAGCCCAGGGAAUCGAUGUUUCCAGUACACAUGCUUUAUUACGAGGAGCGAGCAAGUAAAUGACUCCGGCAUCCUGCAAAUGAGCCUGUUGUACCGUCUGGUAAUGCUGCUCGUAUGUGCGCGUUCAUUACAAGGACUUGCGUAUUGGCGUAGAUAACUGGGUAGCAGGCACAGCAGCUGUUAUGGAGGCAAACAACGAAGCAAAGCCAUUGCCACUCAUAAGGAACGGACCUUGGUGAUGCAUUACUGCCCGGGUGUAGGCUUUUUCAACAACGUCUUCAAAUAGCAAAAUCAAUUUAAGAGCUUACUUUCAGGAAACCACCAGUGAAAACAAGCUCUUAAUCUUCAAGACGUAUAUUGUUUACGGCACAGUGAAACAAAUUACUGAACAGAUAGAGGAAUGGAGAACUGUUAAGCAAUGGGAUGCGCGUGUGCCAAGAAAGAUAACACUGAUCGCCCACUCUUUCAAGGAACAGAAGGUCAGGGGAAACAAACCCAUUCCAAAACUUCUUGCACUUUUUAGAUAGUCCACAACUUUACGCUUACUCUUCAUCUAAUACGCUGGCUGAAAAUACCACUGCGACACCAAUAAGCCCAUAACAAUAGGUAUUUAGCAAUAAUGCGCAGCAGUGGUAGGCGCUUACACCCCCCCUCCUCCUCCACAGAACUUCACAAAUUUAUAGAAGGAACAUUGAAGUCACAUUUUGUGCUGUAAAUGUGUUGCCUGAGUUCUAGAAGAAGCUUAACCUUAUCUCCCCAUACCACAGUCUUCCUGAAGUAAUUGAUGCUCAAAGUCCCCAAUUCGACAUAAACUGCGGCACAAUGUUAUUGUAUACAGCAAUCAGGCGGCCUGCAGACAGGAAACUGCACUGAACCCAGAUCAAUAGACAUGUCAACAGUAAGCAGCUUAAUCUAAUUCUGCCCAUCUCAUCUGGGGAGCGCACAGUUGGCAAUUUGGCUCCUACGUCCCUCUGGCAGGAAACAGUUUAAAAACUUUCGUCUUUAGGAAUCUACAGACAGGCCAUGAAAUGUGCAUACAGCAGAACACCUACCCAUAUUGUUCCCUUCCCUACUACACGGAAUGGGGAUUUUCCUAAAUAAGUGACAGCACUUGAUGGAAAUCUAAGUUUAGACAAACAAAAGUUAGGGCUGGUUCACAGCUAUACCACAGCGGUACGCUGGGAGAUACAUUUUUACGGUAUCUAAACGUAUGCUCUGGUAUACUUAUAGGGGGAGAUUUAUCAAAACCUGUCCAAAAAGGAAAUGUUGCCCAUAGCAACCAAUCAGAUCGCUUCUUUUAUUUUUGAAAAGGCCUCUGAAAAAUGAAAGAAGCGAUCCGAUUGGUUGCUAUGGGCGACUCAGCAACUUUUCCUCUGGACAGGUUAUGAUAAAUCUUAACUUUUUGAAUAAUCAAUAUAAUUCUUUAAAAAAAAAUAAAAAAAAAUUAAAUAAGUGAGAGUAUACAAUAUUUUCCACAGUGGAGAAAGCUAACUUAUUCUUCUGCCUGUGAAAUUCGAUGAAGUGAAGGCCGCAGUGUAUACACUUUAAGGCGAUGUUUAUAUCUGUCAUGUCAGAAAAAAUAAAUCUACGUGAACCUUUAAGUCUUUGCACAUGGAAGGCAUUUGUCACUGAUGUGGCAGCAGGAAAACAAACAAUCUUUAUGGAGUAAUUGUGAUCUUUGAUGUCGGCUCCAAGUAAAGUGGCAACAAUCAAUGUGUUAAAUCACUAGGGGACCAACGCACCAGCUCAACGCCAUUGCCAUAUAUAAGCCAGGCUUUGAGGAGGAAUUGGAAGGAUAUUAGGAAAAGUUGUGGACCUUAAAUGAUGUUUUGCUUGAUAAGAUCAAUAUAUAUGACUAUAGUAUUCAAAUGUAGUAGAGCUUAGAGAGUACCUGUCAUGAUCUUGUUAAAUUUUAUAAUCCUCCCAGUUCACUGCCCCCAUCAUGAUAAACCACCCUCUGCCUUUUAUUUUUAUUUUUUUUAGUUUUCUACCUUGAUAUUGUUCUGUAUUUUCUGCUCAAACUCAUUUACAUUCACAGACUGGGAAGGGGCGUUCCCCAGAAGGUGUGACAUCAUCUGAAGCCAUACAGGGGAGAACUUCCUCCCUCACUGUGCUACACACAGCCCAAAAUCAGGCAUUUCCUGAUUUUGGAUGUCUGCAAGGGAUGAGGGGGACAUGUGCCCUGGACAAGAAAGGAGACACCUAGUGGCAGCUGGGGGGCCAGAUCGGUAUUGAGGUAUAUGGAAAAAUUGAUAUCGUAAACAGAAAACACACCAGUAUUCGGUAUGAACCGGUAUACCGCCCAGCACUAGUUGCAUCUUAUAAAAACAAAAGGUAUCUGCCAGUGAUAAGUGAAGAAAGGUGAAAUAGUGAGCAGAUAGGUGUAGGGCUAGUGCAUUCACAACCAAAAAACAGCAAAUAAUACCAAAAUGGGUGAAAAAAGAGGGGGGAGAAAAGAAAGAGAAAAGAAAAAGGGAGCGAAAAAGGACAGAAAAAUUAUAAUAAUGAUGAUAAUAGUGAAGGGGGGGGGAAUAGGUAUUACAGGCCAUUAGAUUCUCGAUUCAUUAGAAAGGGCAGCAGUGAGCGCGUCCUGACAAAAAUAAAUUCAAAGCAUGGGACACCAAAAGAAAGCAUAAAGACUGUAAAAAAAAUAUAGAAUGUAUUCUUCGCUUAUAACGCCUAAAGGUUUCGGUCAGAGUUCCUGUAUUUUUUACAUUAAAAGUAGUGCUGCAAAAUAGAGACCAGCACAGGCCGGCCCACCCGAUGGAUUUGGGACCAUUACCACCUGUUCCCGCAAAGUGUGGGUAGCACUCCCGCCUGCUCCACGUGUGUCAGAUUCUGCCAGCUCCUGCAAGCAUUUUUUCACAGCUUUUAGAGAUAGUCCCCCAGUGCCAUUUCAUUAGCUACUUGUGCCAUUUCAUCAGCCCCUGUGGCAUAUCAGAGGUUAGCGGGACUGUGCGGGAUUUUACGGGACCUGCAACACAUUCUGUGACCACCCGCUUCGGCCCCAACAACCUCAUUACCGCCCGCAUGUUUUUUAUUGGGUCACACAAGACCAACGGGAUUCCAAUCCAGAUGCAGACUACAUGCAAUAAUAUAAAACUCAGUUACUGACAUGUCCACCUAGCAACAAAAUCCAUCAUUACAAUAUGAAAAAGAGAAAAAAAACUUGCAGAAGCUGUAGGGGGACCGGAAAAUAUGGGUUAAUAUGAGAUUUGUCAAUAUAAAAAAAAAAAACAACACAUUUCGGAGAAUUGUAUAUGAUAUGAUAUUCCUUUGUUGCUGUGGAUGCAUAAUGACACUAAUACACUCUCAUAUCACAUUGCACUGCCCAAGCCUCCCGCAAUCACCGUGUGCUUGAUUUCUUAGUAUGCUCUUGUCGCCCUUCAAAUCCAAAGCAUAUCUUGCCUAAGAGUGCCGGCGCUGUCCAUGGAAAUCACGAUAGGAUACUGAUGACUGACACCUCAUCUCACUAUAGCAAAAUAUUACAGCAGUUAAAUUGUGCUGUAAAGGGCUUGCUGAAGAGAAGAUUGGCAUGUCAGAGCGGGUAUGACAAUAUGCUCUGCAGAAUGAACACAGAUUUAAAACAUUUAUUCCUGUCGCUAUUAGUAUGUCAGGGUUGCACACUUAAAAGUUCAAAUGCCAGAGCGGAGCGUGCCACCGAGGAUCUUGAUGGCUCUGAAAAGCCUCAUUAUGUUGAUUGAUUUAAAGCAAAUCAGCAUAUUUACAUCCCAAAAACAAAAAGUCUCUGAUUUGGGUAAUCUCUAUUAAGCUAUGAAUAAGUGCGCUCUUACAUAUGCAAAGCCCUUAUCAACUAACAACUCAAGAAGAUCUACAUAAAUCAUAAAAGAAUUAUUAUAAAAGAAAAAAAAAAACACGUUUGGGGUAAUUAAGACGUCGUCUGAAUAAGAUCCACAAGAGACACCUCGGAGAGUUUAAAUUCACGCUUUUAAGUGACCUCCCCGGCAAAUGGAUCUUUUGUCUUGACUGGACUUGAAUAAAUGACUUGCAAAUGCAAAAGAAACAUUUUUAUGAUUCAAUGCUGCUGCCUGCGUUUUGAAUGCAAGGUUAAAAGUGCCGGGUGAACCUUUUAAGGUUAUUGAAACUAAAUUAUUAACGCUACAUUUCACCUUCCUUUUGUCCUCCUCGUGGUGGAUGAGCUUAUUAUUUGCUACAAGUUCACUCCAAAAAGUUGUAAAUCAAAGAGCAAAGUCCGUCGAAAGCAAUAGUGUUUAGAAUUAAAAGGAGGAUUUUUUUUUUCUAAUAGUUGCGUCCUGUACAGCACCAUGAGCAAAUCAAUUGUCAAGUUACAAUUCAGGUUGGGAGCCACUGGUAUUAGGAAACAAGGCUGUAAUGGAAUCGCAAACUUAUUUAUCGCUCAUCUAUACGGGAGGUCAAUGUAGAAAGCAUAGUUGCCUAUUCACUGCAAAUUUAAAUGAGAUUCCCUAAAAAAAAUCGGGCAGAGCUAGCAGGUGUCCCAGUUUCUCGACAAGGUAGCCAACAGGCAUAUCACUGCUCAACUGCGACAUCAAUGCAUUGCGUGAUAAAGAAGACUACACAGUAGGGAAUUGAAGGUCUGGUCACAUGUCCAAUAAAUCAUUUGGGGGUCUGAUCUGGGGCCUGAAUGUAUUCUGGAGUGGAAGGUAAGCUCUUGCAAGCACUAAAUUCUGCAGAUAGGAUAAUGAUCCUGGGCUUUAUAGUGAUUGCCAUAUUCUGAAUUGGGGGGGGACUCCAGACUUCCUCUGGAUCAACACAGAAGAGGUAUAGGUUGAUGGACCUUUGUCUUAUUUCCAACCUUAUCAUCUAUGUAACUAUGCAAUAGUUAAAGAUCCCCCCCUCCCCCAACUUAUACACUAUGGUAAAG